GAUACUAGUAUGGUUUGAGGUUUGGUUUGGUAUAUGAGUCAGACCAGUCUAUACUAGCCCAAACUGAGCUGAACCACCCAAUAUCGUUGGAUAUCAACCCAGUUUCGGACGAUACUAUAGUUGGGAGUGAAAAGAGUGUUGGAAGUCUGUCUUGAUAUGGGGCGUGUACCAUACCGACGGUACUGUAUCAAACCAGAAA
rnacentral:lncRNA from 1 species